rnacentral:rRNA from 1 species
AUUGAACGCUGGCGGAAUGCUUUACACAUGCAAGUCGAACGGCAGCACGGACUUCGGUCUGGUGGCGAGUGGCGAACGGGUGAGUAAUACAUCGGAACGUGCCCAGUCGUGGGGGAUAACGUAGCGAAAGCUACGCUAAUACCGCAUACGAUCUAAGGAUGAAAGCGGGGGAUCGCAAGACCUCGCGCGAUUGGAGCGGCCGAUGGCAGAUUAGGUAGUUGGUAGGGUAAAGGCCUACCAAGCCGACGAUCUGUAGCUGGUCUGAGAGGCUGAUCAGCCACACUGGGACUGAGACACGGCCGAGACUCCUACGGGAGGCAGCAGUGGGGAAUUUGGGACAAUGGGCGCAAGCCUGAUCCAGCCAUUCCGCGUGCAGGAUGAAGGCGUUCGGGUUGUAAACUGCUUUUGUACAGAACGAAAAGGCUCUGGUUAAUACCCGGGGCUCAUGACGGUACUGUAAGAAUAAGCACCGGCUAACUACGCGCCAGCCGCCGCGGUAA